AAACAUAACCUUUAGCCAAACAAGUAUUAAAGGCAACGCCUGCCCAGUGAAUAAUUAAACGGCCGCGGUAUCCUAACCGUGCAAAGGUAGCAUAAUCAUUUGUCUAUUAAUUGUAGACCUGUAUGAAAGGCAAAAUGAGAGCCCAACUGUCUCUUAUAACAAAUCAAUUAAACUGAUCUUCUAGUCCAAAAGCUAGAAUAUUAACAUAAGACCAGAAGACCCUGUGAAGCUUUAACUAACCUAUUAAACCCAAUAAUAACUACUUUCGGUUGGGGCGACCUUGGAAUAAAAAAGAACUUCCAAUAUAUGACUUCUCAUAAACAAGGCAAACAAGCCACACUAGACCCAGUAUUACUGAUAAUUGAAAUAAGUUACUCCAGGGAUAACAGCGCUAUCUUCUUUUAGAGCCCAUAUCAAAAAGAAGGUUUACGACCUCGAUGUUGGAUCAGGACAUCCCAGUAAUGCAACCGUUACUAAAGGUUCGUUUGUUCAACGAUUAACAGUCCUACGU
rnacentral:rRNA from 1 species